rnacentral:rRNA from 1 species
UACAGAGGUCUCAAGCGUUGUUCGGAUUCAUUGGGCGUAAAGGGUGCGUAGGUGGCGCCGUAAGUGGGGUGUGAAAUCCCGGGGCUUAACCCCGGGACUGCAUUCCAUACUGCGGUGCUUGAGGACUGGAGAGGAGACUGGAAUUUACGGUGUAGCAGUGAAAUGCGUAGAGAUCGUAAGGAAGACCAGUGGCGAAGGCGGGUCUCUGGACAGUUCCUGACACUGAGGCACGAAGGCCAGGGGAGCAAUCGGG